rnacentral:rRNA from 1 species
GUGAACGCUGGCGGUAGGCCUAACACAUGCAAGUCGAACGGCAGCACAGUAAGAGCUUGCUCUUACGGGUGGCGAGUGGCGGACGGGUGAGGAAUACAUCGGAAUCUACUUUUUCGUGGGGGAUAACGUAGGGAAACUUACGCUAAUACCGCAUACGACCUACGGGUGAAAGCAGGGGAUCUUCGGACCUUGCGCGAUUGAAUGAGCCGAUGUCGGAUUAGCUAGUUGGCGGGGUAAAGGCCCACCAAGGCGACGACCCGUAGCUGGUCUGAGAGGAUGAUCAGCCACACUGGAACUGAGACACGGUCCAGACUCCUACGGGAGGCAGCAGUGGGGAAUAUUGGACAAAGGGCGCAAGCCUGAUCCAGCCAUACCGCGUGGGUGAAGAAGGCCUUCGGGUUGUAAAGCCCUUUUGUUGGGAAAGAAAAGCAGCAGGUUAAUACCCCGCUGUUCUGACGGUACCCAAAGAAUAAGCACCGGCUAACUUCGUG